UACAGAGGUGGCAAGCGUUGUUCGGAAUUACUGGGCGUAAAGGGCGCGUAGGCGGCCAUCUAAGUCAGACGUGAAAUCCCCCGGCUUAACCUGGGAACUGCGUCUGAUACUGGACGGCUUGAGUAUGGGAGAGGGAUGUAGAAUUCCAGGUGUAGCGGUGAAAUGCGUAGAUAUCUGGAGGAAUACCGGUGGCGAAGGCAGCACUCUGGGACGUGACUGACGCUGAGACGCGAAAGCGUGGGGAGCAAACAGG
rnacentral:rRNA from 1 species